UACAGAGGUCUCAAGCGUUGUUCGGAUUCAUUGGGCGUAAAGGGUGUGUAGGUGGCGCCGUAAGUCGGGUGUGAAAUUUCGGAGCUUAACUCCGAAACUGCAUUCGAUACGUGCGGUGCUUGAGGAACUGGAGAGGAGACUGGAAUUAUGGUGAGCAGUGAAAUGCGUAGAGAUCAUGAGGAAGACCAGUGGCGAAGGCGGGUCUC
rnacentral:rRNA from 1 species